rnacentral:rRNA from 1 species
CCUACGGGAGGGCAGCAGUGGGGAAGUUUUGGACAAUGGGCGCAAGCCUGAUCCAGCAAUGCCGCGUGAGUGAAGAAGGCCUUCGGGUUGUAAAGCUCUUUUGUCAGGGAAGAAACGGUCUACUCUAAUACAGUGGGCUAAUGACGGUACCUGAAGAAUAAGCACCGGCUAACUACGUGCCAGCAGCCGCGGUAAUACGUAGGGUGCAAGCGUUAAUCGGAAUUACUGGGCGUAAAGCGUGCGCAGGCGGUUAUAUAAGUCAGAUGUGAAAUCCCCGGGCUCAACCUGGGAACUGCAUUUGAGACUGUAUGGCUAGAGUGUGUCAGAGGGGGGUAGAAUUCCACGUGUAGCAGUGAAAUGCGUAGAUAUGUGGAGGAAUACCGAUGGCGAAGGCAGCCCCCUGGGAUAACACUGACGCUCAUGCACGAAAGCGUGGGGAGCAAACAGGAUUAGAUACCCUGGUAGUCCACGCCCUAAACGAUGUCUACUAGUUGUCGGGACUUAAUUGUCUUGGUAACGCAGCUAACGCGUGAAGUAGACCGCCUGGGGAGUACGGUCGCAAGNUUAAAACGUCAAAGGAUUGACCGGNUGAGACNGACGACGACGACGACGAGGGAGGAGG